UGGGGAAUAUUGGACAAUGGGCGAAAGCCUGAUCCAGCCAUGCCGCGUGUGUGAAGAAGGCCUUUUGGUUGUAAAGCACUUUAAGUGGGGAGGAAAAGCUUGUGGUUAAUACCCAUAAGCCCUGACGUUACCCACAGAAUAAGCACCGACUAACUCUGUGCCAGCAGCCGCGGUAAUACAGAGGGUGCAAGCGUUAAUCGGAAUUACUGGGCGUAAAGCGCGCGUAGGUGGUUAUUUAAGUCAGAUGUGAAAGCCCCGGGCUUAACCUGGGAACUGCAUCUGAUACUGGAUAACUAGAGUAGGUGAGAGGGGAGUAGAAUUCCAGGUGUAGCGGUGAAAUGCGUAGAGAUCUGGAGGAAUACCGAUGGCGAAGGCAGCUCCCUGGCAUCAUACUGACACUGAGGUGCGAAAGCGUGGGUAGCAAACAGGAUUAGAUACCCUGGUAGUCCACGCCGUAAACGAUGUCUACCAGUCGUUGGGUCUUUUAAAGACUUAGUGACGCAGUUAACGCAAUAAGUAGACCGCCUGGGGAGUACGGCCGCAAGGUUA
rnacentral:rRNA from 1 species